GUUGUGACCACGACAGCUUUGUCGACAGUCGCGCGUGAUUGCGGCCGAGCAGUGCGAACUUACAAUCGCUCCCGUUUCAAACAGUCGCGCGUGCCCCCUGGUCUUCGAUCGCUGAUUCACCACUUUAUACGCGCGAGAACGUUUCUCAACCCCUUUACGAUCCGAGCCGGCUUACGAACUAUUUCCAAUCCCUUUCUCUCAUCGAUACUUCAAUUCGCUUUGACCAAAAUAUAAUUUUUCGAGUAAAAAAAAGGCUUCCUUUUAAGAUUUAUCCGAGCGUUUUCCGCUCAGACACGUGUCCGCCAAAGGGAUAACGAGAUCUCUGCGGAGACACGCAGAUUACGCGAGUUUUCCUUGUGCUUCACGAUGACAACACUUUUGUCUAAAGUGGCAUCAGACAUUGGAGCGGUGUUAAGAUCUAAACCGAGGGAUUUAGUGGUGUUGAGACCUGGACAGUGGUCGCGAUGAGUCAGUGCUGAUGCUAUGACGGUUUCAAGCGAAAGGGAACUCGAUGAAGACUUUUGAUGUCGAGAGACCAGGCGCUUCACGUGGCGACAGACCGCUUCAAUGUGACGUGCAUCAGCGAUUUGUGCUGUAACGAGUAAAUAUCUUUCACGGAUUCUCAUCAUGAAGAAGUUGUAGACUAAUAGCUGUCCAGUGCCUGUUUUUUAACACUUUCUCAAACAAUGUACAAACAAUGUACGGAUACAGACUCAGAGGUCUAGAGAGAAGGUUCCUCUUAUUCCUCAGCCUAGGAAAGGAAAAGUUUAUUCUUUCAAUCGGAUAAUUGAUCGUCGACUAUUGGUCCUGACGAUCUGAAUAGAAGAUGAGGGAGGGAGACUGUGUUGGAUAAAGGAAGGAUCAGGAAAACAGAAUCCUGUUGAUAGAAUAAAUCAAUCGCUCUGUUAAUAAACAGGGAAGAGGACAUAGAUCGCGAAACAGAUGCCUGUUCAAGUGGAAGUGGAAGAGGAGGAGAAUGAUCCAAUGAUGGUGGAAAAUUUUACGAGUUCAAAGUGAUCAGCGCUGAAUGUUAAUUGGGUUUUAAAAAUUAUGAUCGAAAUUACGAGGGUUAUGCGAAUUAAAGAAUAAAAUUGUAAAUAUCGAUCGAAAGAUCGUAGCGUGAUAUUUUUCUCUUCUUUUAAAAAUCUUUAAUAAAUAAUCUAUUAAAUGUAAAAAAAAAUAUUUACCUCUCGUGGAUAUAAAUAAAAUUUUUAAAGAGAUAUAUAUAUAUAUAUAAUUAAAUAAAUUUAAAAUAUUCUUAACGCUUAAUUCUCAAAUUAUUAGAUUAAACGAUCUACUACUUUUUCCUCUUUAAAAAUUUUUCAUCGGUAUAUUCGAGUUUUCUCCGGAGGACCAAGGAAUUUCGCUUUUUUUACUUAUCACGAUUUUAAAACGUUUUUACUAGCAACACUUCGAAACGAGAGCAAACGUAGCAACGGUUAGAUUAGAGCUGGGAUUCACGAUAUUAUCGAGAGUGGAGAGUAGUAGGAAAAACUUCGAGUCCAACACAUUGACAGAAAAAUUUUAAAUUUUUCUAAAAACUCCUAUUAACCAUAGAAUUUAACUUGAUCGGUCAAUUUAUCUUAAUUUCUCGCCGCUUGGGGCCAAAAUAAUAUAGAUAGAAGCUAAGAACGAGGAAUAUUGUUACUCUCAUCGGUAGAAAUUAAAUUUGUGCUAUUAAAAACGAAAAUAAGAAACAUCGAACGAAGAAAGUGACGGUAGUCAAGAUAAUACGGCGCUUGAAUGCAAAUCGGAGGAUCUUCGGUUCGAAUCUCAAAAGAGAUAAAAAAUAUUUUUUAAUGAAAAAACUUACUUCGAAUGUGAUUUUUAAGUUAAUAGUGACGAAAUGAAUAUCAAAAAUUGAAAAAAAAUACUAAAUUUGAUAAAAAAAGAAAUUUCAAAAGUGUUAAUAGAUGAGAUAGAAAGAAAUUACAAAGGGAAAAGUGAUGAAAAUAAAGAAAAUGAAAAAUUCAAAAAGUGAAAUAAAAAGAUGAAAACAUAUCAAUAAAAUGUAUUUGUGGAAAUCGAUUUCUAAAAUUGAAAAUAAUUAGAAAAAUAUUUCUUAUAAAAUUAGAAAGAGAAAAACCACAAGAG